GCCACCUUAGCUUCAACUGGCUAGAGCAAUCGCCUUGUAAGCGAUAGGUUAUCGGUUCGAAUCCGAUAGGUGGCUC
rnacentral:tRNA from 2 species